CCUACGGGAGGCAGCAGUGAGGAAUAUUGGUCAAUGGGCGCGAGCCUGAACCAGCCAAGUCGCGUGAGGGAUGAAGGUUCUAUGGAUCGUAAACCUCUUUUAUCAGGGAAUAAAGUGUGGGACGUGUCCUAUUUUGUAUGUACCUUAUGAAUAAGGAUCGGCUAACUCCGUGCCAGCAGCCGCGGUAAUACGGAGGAUCCGAGCGUUAUCCGGAUUUACUGGGUUUAAAGGGUGCGUAGGCGGCGUAUUAAGUCCGCGGUGAAAGUCUGUGGCUCAACACUAGAAGUGCCGUUGAAACUGGGGGGCUGGAGUACGUGUGAGGCAAGCGGAAUGCGUGGUGGAGCGGUGAAAUGCUUAGAUAUCACGCAGAACCCCGAUUGCGAAGGCAGCCUGCCAAGCCAUGACUGACGCUGAUGCACGAAAGCGUGGGGAUCAAACAGGAUUAGAUACCCCUGUAGUC
rnacentral:rRNA from 1 species